UCUUUGUGUUAUUUGUGAGACUUUCUCUACAGUGACCACUUCAUGUCUCAGGUCUCUGCUCUUAAUGAGCUUGUUAGUGUAAAUGAGUGACAGCUGCUGGAGAGAGAACAGGAGUCUGAAUAUUCCAGUAAAACUUUGAAGCAGAUCGUUAAUACAGUGAAGCCUCUGAAUGAGGAACAGCAGGAGCACAGCACAACAAAAAACAUGCUGUCCUGGUAAGAAAAGUCUAAAAGUGGCCAAGAACACUCACCAAGAUGAAAGUUCAAGGUCGCGUGUUGCAGUCGGAGCAUGGCUUUGGAUGAAUUGUCUCUGUCUUGGCUGAGCUUGAAGGGACUGUGACAGACUGAGGUGGAGACGGCACUCUGGGUUCACAGAGAGGCCAUGUGGUCACUCAGUCAUCCCUGUUUGUUCCGCGGCACCAGCAGAGGGAAACCGGAGAUAAACCUGCAUGUUACAGCCUCGUACAUCACAAGAUGUGCUCCAAACAAACCUGCUAAAAGAGAGGAGGUGGUACUUCAGAGACAAAAGAGAAGCCCGAGGGAUACAGUUACAUGUAUACUGAAAAAGUAAAGCUGGUAUGGAGUGAUUAACACAGAAAGGUGUCCGGACAUGUAGAUGAAGGGGAGGUUUGUCUACUUAAAGCUUUGUUGAGUCACAGAGCAGCAGGAAGGUGAGGACAGGCUGACGGGAAGACAUUAGGAAAGAGUGAGUAAGGUAGAAAUAAAGGAGGGACUGAGAUACAAAGAGCUAUUAUCAUCAAGAUCACCAUUGUUACUGUUCUGUGCUGCACAUUUCUCAAAUUACUGGAAAAAAGCUGCAGUAUUGCACAGAAAGAGCUGUAAACGGGGUUAUUAGGGGCCCAGUGCGUCAUGGACACAGAGCUCUGAGAAACCAUUUAGUUUUUAAUGCCUCUGCACUAAAUAAGGCCCUUAUAGGAAUAUUAUAACAUGACAUCAUAGCAAAAUAUGUGAGGUUUUAACUAAUGUGACUGGAGGCCUACGUUAUAAUACACACCUUUUUACCUUUAUGGAAAUGUGUACAAACAAAUAGAGCUGUAUAUGUUUCUACACUUUAUUCGUCCAUCUGUCGGAGCAAAGGAGACACAAACUGUCAGUAUGUGAAUCAAUAAAAACCAUUAAAGGCACAUUGUGGGAUGUUUGGAUUCAUCUAACAGACAUCUGUCAGAUAAGAUUUCACAUUCGUAGGCCUGAUGGAAGAUCAUAAAAUAUUGAUUCUGUCAAGUAAAAAAAUGUCAUAUUUCCUAAAUUUUAGGCGCUCCAAAACAGACAUACUUCGGUCUCAAGU